rnacentral:rRNA from 1 species
GACGAACGCUGGCGGCGUGCUUAACACAUGCAAGUCGAGCGGUAAGGCCCUUUCGGGGGUACACGAGCGGCGAACGGGUGAGUAACACGUGGGUGACCUGCCCUCAGCUCUGGGAUAAGCCUGGGAAACCGGGUCUAAUACCGGAUAUGACUCCAUGACGCAUGUUGUGGGGUGGAAAGCCUUGUGCGGCUGAGGAUGGGCCCGCGGCCUAUCAGCUUGUUGGUGGGGNGAUGGCCUACCAAGGCGACGACGGGUAGCCGGCCUGAGAGGGCGACCGGCCACACUGGGACUGAGACACGGCCCAGACUCCUACGGGAGGCAGCAGGUGGGGAAUCUUGCGCAAGUGGGACGAAAGCCUGACGCAGCGACGCCGCGUGA